rnacentral:lncRNA from 1 species
GUCGUGACCUGGUCGGUAUGUCGCGAACGCGAUGUUGAUCGCGUUGGCGUUUUGCCUUUCUUGGCCAAAGCCAAGUCGACAAGUUAGCCAGUCAUCUUGCUCGAGAGUUGACUAUGGAAGGAGAGUGGCUUCAACUUAAGGGGGUUUCAUCGCCAUCGCCGGCCUUCCACCAGCGUAGAUAUGUUGGUCCUCGUAAGAGUCCGAUGUGUCAUCGGUGAUCAAGCCGCAGAUUCCUGACGGAACAUUGGGCCCAAGUCGGGGCAUCGGGGCUCGUACUACUGGUGAGCGCCGGCCCACAAUCGGAGGGCCAAGAUUCUAGACUCUGGAGUUUUGAAACUAAG